rnacentral:rRNA from 1 species
CGUUAGCGGCGGACGGGUGAGUAACACGUGGGUGACCUACCUAUAAGACUGGGAUAACUCCGGGAAACCGGGGCUAAUACCGGAUAACACAUGAAACCGCAUGGUUUCAUGAUGAAAGACGGUUUUGCUGUCACUUAUAGAUGGACCCGCGGCGUAUUAGCUAGUUGGUAAGGUAACGGCUUACCAAGGCAACGAUACGUAGCCGACCUGAGAGGGUGAUCGGCCACACUGGAACUGAGACACGGUCCAGACUCCUACGGGAGGCAGCAGCA